rnacentral:lncRNA from 1 species
UAUACUCCCUAGUCAUACACGUUUACGUAUGCAUACAAAAACUCACACGUGUAAUAUGGUCUAGACCAAAACAUAAUGUAGAAUGUCGAUUCUUUCACUAAACGGUCUAAAUUCUAUAAUUAAUAAUUUGGAUGAUUGGGUACAUAAUCUUUAUUUUAAAGUCCUUCAUCUUAGGUACGUUACCAUCUUAACAUGCUAGAUUACCGGUUCAUAGAUAUGUUGAAGUUUUCCACGGUAGUAAAAGAGUCUUUAAUUAGUUUAUUCGUUACU